UGGCACAGAUACUGGGAAAAGCAUUCCUUGCCACCACCAAAAACAUGCUCCUGUUCUCAUUCCUCCCAUCCUUACACCAGCACAAAUGACUGGGUGUGCUUAUACAGUGUGCAGCAAGAGAGCCGCACAGAUAAAAAUGGAAAGAAGGAGAGGAGGCAAAGGAAUAAUUUUCUGUCAGAUCAGAUCCUGCAUCCAGUUCACUACUUUGACACAUGAACAGAUUUUGGACACAUCUGAGCCUCGAGAGCAGGGAGCAUACAGUGGAACCUUUUUAUGGCUGGAGAUGGAGCUGACUGAACUGCAAGGCUCCCAGCUCUGCAGCAAGGAUUGUGCAAUCCCUGUUGCUCCUCCAGGGCUGGUGGGACACAGAGAGGAUGCACUGGCCUUGCACUGCUUACGCCUCCCUGUGAGAGGUUUUUCACCUCUGCUGCAGAAAGUCUCAAGACACUUGUACUUAAUCGUCAAGAAUUGUGGUUAUUUCAGAAUGUGACAAUCUUAAAUAGUAUUGCCACAGAAAUAUAUGCAAAUGUAGGAUAUAGAUACAUAUUUAAACAUUAAAAAAAUUAAUAGAUAACUUUUUAAUUUCCUUCUUAAGACGUCUGAUUUUACUCUUUCUGCCUCUGAAUACAAGAUUUAAUUUACUGUUGAUAAUUGGGCAAUGCAUCUUACAGCUUUCAGAUUGUAAGUGGGUUUCCACAUAAUAACCCUUACUAUUCUAAAAAUCAUUCUCUGACAUUCUCCUACUUUCAUAAAUCCUUAUCCAAGCAACCUGUCCACACAAACUAUUUCUAACCUAAUUUCAGUAUGACCUCUGGACUUGGCAAACAGUGAACAUCUUUUACUGUUAAAUGCCUUAACAGGGCCUGUGGCUGAUUUUACAGCAAGACUCAAAUCUACCCCUGAAUUUAACACUAUUUCAUACAUUAAGUCUGUGACAAUUUUGAAACUAUUUUCAAUUUAAUAUGUCCUCACAAGAGGCAGACAUAAGAUCAGUUGUAGAAAAACAAAGAUAAAACCCUAUGAAAUCUAUUUUAAUGUUACAAAUCUGUAUUAGAAAAAAAAUUGUCAACACAAUUCAAAGAGCAAUGAUGCAAAAUUAUUUUUGGAACGAUUUUUUGUAUCUGCCUUCUUGUGUUUAAUUCAGGCUGGUUGCAGGAAGUAAACUCAUUAUAACAACAAAUCUGAGGUCUGGAGAAUAAAGCCUGGCAAGAUCUCA
rnacentral:lncRNA from 1 species